rnacentral:lncRNA from 1 species
UUGCACCCCUUGCGCGGACCGCCUGCGAGUGGCUGCUCCCUGCGCAGGCGGAGCCAGCUCUCAGCAAAUUGUGGGCUCCUGUGCUUGGCCAGGACAGAGCACAAAGGAAACGAAACGCGCGUCUCCAGCAGUGCAGUCGCAGGCGGGACGCCGUCUCCUCCCCAGCUUACCAGCUGGUUGGAGCUUCCACUCCUGCCCUGGUGGUGUCACUGAAUUGCUCUGGCGGGGCUGGAACUCUUGAUACUCCUGCUCCAACUCCCAGAGUGCUUGGGAUUACAGAUCUGGAUUUCUAAGGAAGCUGUAAUCAUCCUUCCAAGUCUCCAGUCUGCCCUCUUCCCAGCAGUUCUGCUCCUCCACGCACCAAGCAUUUCCCAGAUUUACCUACAAGGAAAGAAUGUGCUCCUCAGCUAAUAAAAAUAUCUUGUGUGCUUGGUAGUUAAGAUGGACAUUGUAAUUGACCUCAAUUGCCAUUCUAAUCACUCAGGACUUUUAGAAAUCCAGGAUGUUGGCCCCUGGCCAGACCUACUGAAUCAGAAUCUGCAUUUUCACAAGAUUCCUUGGUAAUACCUGCCACAAUAAAAUCUUGAGAAGCAUUACUAAGCCAAUCACAAUAGUUCCGUCAUGUGCCCUCAAAAUUGGUUCUGUAAUGGGUGUUCCUUACCCAUUUCGAACCAGUGAGACACAAUGAGAUGCCAAUGCAGAGCAAAGCCAAGCCGUCUCUCUCCUGGAUGAAAACAAAGGCACAUGUUGCCUUGGUUCCUGCUGACAGGCAUCUAACAACUGCAAGAGAAACUGCUGGGUAGCCUGGUCAAUAUUUGGUUGCCUUCCUUGUCCGAUCCUGGUUGGACCCUCCAUUGGUUGAAGGAGGGACAGAAUGGAGUGUCCUGACUCUGCUUCCUGAGGAUGCAUUUGUGUGGCCUGUUGAGCCAAGUGACUGUCACCCAGAGGCUGUACAUUGGGAUGGCCUGGGGAACAUUCAGGAUCCAUCCAUUCCUGUGGCCCACCCCUGAGAUCGUGACUUAACGGGCCUGGGGCGGAAGCCAAGACAUUGGCUUUUUUUUUUUUUUUUGUACCGGAGAUUGAACUCGGGUCCUUGCGCUUGCGCCAGGCAAACAAAACCACUGAGCUAAACCCACGGCCCCAUUGGCGUUUUUAAAAAGCUCCUCAGUGGUUAUAAUAUAUAGCUAUAAUUGAGAACCAGCAAUUUAGACAGAUCACAUCUUAGAGCAUAAUACCAUUUUCACAUUCCCCAUGCAAAUGCUCCCUUCCCACUAAGACUGUUUGUGAAAUAUAGACUCGUAACUUUGUUAUCAUUACAAAAAUAAUACAAACCCC